AGCUGUCCAAUUCGGUUUUAGAAGAUGCAUUUUUCCCUAUUUUUAGGGAUGGCACAUGUUAAAAGGGAUUCCUUGAUUUUUAGUAUAAAAAGGGGACCCUCCCUAUAGAUAGUGGAAUUUUUAUGGAUGCUCUGCAUUUUUGGAAAGAAAGAAGGAUCUUAUGACUCUCCACUUUUCUUUCAAAAAAAAAAUUUCUCAUUCUCAUUUUGUUUCAGAAAAUAUCUUAAAAACUAAAAAAAUGAUUUAGAAAAUAACAAAAAAAAAAAAAAGAUUCGAAUUCAUACUAUUUCAGUAGUUUUUCUGGGUUCUCUUUGGAUUUUAGAAGUGACCUUAUGAAGCUGUUUUGGUUUGGUUUUUGCUGUUCGUGCUGAUAUUUUCCUCAACAUUCAGAGAUUUAUUUUUUAUGUGUAUUUUUUCUAUCAUCAGGACUGGGGUUUUGAUGAACUUGUGAGUGUUUAUAGAGGAACCGCGUCUUGUUGAUAGUUCUUGAUUGCUCGGCUUCACUCUUUGAGUUUUGUACGAAAAUGUUUGGAAUCUUGCUAGGUAUAUGUAGUUUCUCUCCUAAAGGCGUAACAAUAAUGAAAUAUUGCGCAAUUCAAAUCCUAAAGCUUCAAGUGACUGCUUUCUGCUUUAAUUGAGGUCAUAUGAGAGAUAUAGUGGUGAAAUAGCUUCAUGAAUCAAGCAGUCUGUAUACUUUCUUUUGGGGGGAUUCCCUUGUGAUAUUAAUGGAUUUUCCAGUAAGUUUGAACUGAAAUGGCAAUCCAUUAGCUUUCUUAUUAUGUGUGUCUCUGAUUAUCUGUUUGAUAGUUCAUAUGCUUGUCCCAAUUUCGUAAGUCUAAUUUCUGGGAUAGUUAUGUGGAGGUUCUUCCUUUAAACAUGUAUUUAGGUGCACUCUCAAUGUGUUUAAGUUAUAUCAUAUAGAUUAUCUUUCCAUGACAU